AAGAGAAUAAUCAGGCAUGGUUGGUUGAGUCUGCUUUGAGCAGCCAUGAAUUUCAGUCCUGUUGUAUUUUAUUGCUAUCUCUAGUCAACUACAGACACAUGGUGCUCCUUCAACAAUACUGCUGUGUGCUUUGCUGAAACUUUCUGUUGCUGAUGAGAGAUGCUGUGGUGAUGGCAUCAGUUCCGCUGGAAUGUUAGUUUCCUUUCCUUCAGCUGUUGUAUUCUCAAUAUUGCACAUGGCAGCUGUUGCUUGAGCUGUUGUUUCCUUUUCCUCAGCUAUGUUUUCUUUAUUCAGUGUCAGUGGCGUCUCAGUGUUUUCAUUGAUGUGAUUAGCAAAUCGCUAGAAACAGCAUGAAGAUUGUUUUCAUGCUCUGGUCCCUCUUUUUUUCUUUUUCUUUUUGAGCUCUUUCAUUAUCUUAUGCUUUUUGUAUGACGUGAUCUUCCCCUUCUUAAUAAAUUUAGUUAUUGAUUCUUGAAAAAA
rnacentral:lncRNA from 1 species